CAGCAGCCGCGGUAAUACGGAGGAUCCAAGCGUUAUCCGGAUUCAUUGGGUUUAAGGGUCCGUAGGCGGGUCUUUAAGUCAGUGGUGAAAGCCGACAGCUCAACUGUCGAACUGCCAUUGAUACUGGAGACCUUGAGUACAAAUGAAGUAGGCGGAAUGAGUCAUGUAGCGGUGAAAUGCAUAGAUAUGACUCAGAACACCGAUUGCGAAGGCAGCUUACUAACAUGUAACUGACGCUGAGGGACGAAAGCGUGGGGAGCGAACAGGAUUAGAUACCCUGGUAGUCCACGCCGUAAACGAUCAUCACUCGCUGUUGGCGAUAUACUGUCAGCGGCCAAGCGAAAGUAUUAAGUGAUGCACCUGGGGAGUACGCCGGCAACGGUGAAACUCAAAGGAAAU
rnacentral:rRNA from 1 species